UUUUUAUGGUUAUUCUUCGCU
rnacentral:piRNA from 1 species